UAACACAUGCAAGUCGAGGGGCAGCACAAGGAGCAAUCUGAGGUGGCGACCGGCGCACGGUGAGUAACACGUAUGCAACCUGCCUGUAAGCGGGGAAUAACCCGUUGAAAGACGGACUAAUACCGCAUAAUACUAAAUUACUGCAUGGUAAUUUAUUUAAACAUUUAUGGCUUACAGAUGGGCAUGCGCAUGAUUAGCUAGUUGGAGAGGUAACGGCUCCCCAAGGCAACGAUCAUUAGGGGUUCUGAGAGGAAGGUCCCCCACACUGGUACUGAGACGCGGACCAGACUCCUACGGGAGGCAGCAGUGAGGAAUAUUGGUCAAUGGACGAGAGUCUGAACCAGCCAAGUCGCGUGCAGGAAGAAUGUUCCCUAUGGAUUGUAAACUGCUUUUGCAGGGGAAUAAAGUGCAUCACGUGUGAUGUUUUGUAUGUACUCUGCGAAUAAGGAUCGGCUAACUCCGUGCCAGCCGCCGC
rnacentral:rRNA from 1 species